rnacentral:misc_RNA from 1 species
CAGAUAAUCACACAGCAGGUAAUUACUAUAAAUCGUUGAAAAGUUCCCUCGACUAUCUUUCGUCUCCAUCAUCAGACUUCAAUGGCACUUGUAACUCAUAUAGGUGCAAUGUUCUCAUCAAUAGAAACGAAUUAAGUUCAAACAGCAAGUAAUUGCUAUAAGUCGUUGAAGAGUACCCUCGACUAUCUUUCGUCUCCAUCAUCAGACUGAAAUGGCACUUAUAACUCAUAUAUAUAUGCAAAGUUCUCAUCAAUAGAAACGAAUUAAGUUCAAACAGCAGGUAAUUGCUAUAAAUUGUUGAAGAGUUCCCUCGACUAUCUUUCUUCUCCAUCAUCAGAUCGACCCCA